UUCUCCUCCCGGACGCAGCAGUGGGGAAUAUUGGGCAAUGGGCGCAAGCCUUCCCCCUCCCCUCCUCUUUCCUUCCUCCUUCUUUCGGGUUGUAAACUUCUUUUGUCAUUUACGAAGCAAGUGACGGUACCUGACGAAUAAGCCACGGCUAACUACGUGCCAUCAGCCGCGGUAAUACUUAUUUUGCAAGCGUUAUCCGGAUUUAUUGUUUGUAAAGGGCGUGUAGGCGGGAAUGCAAGUCAGAUGUGAAAACUAUGGGCUCAACCCAUAGCCUGCAUUUUAAACUGUAUUUCUUGAGUGCUGGG
rnacentral:rRNA from 1 species